AUAUUGUAUGGUAUAUUGUACAAACAUUUAAUUCCGUUUUUUAUUUUUUUAAAUGCAUUUGCUGCGGUAUAAAUAAAUAAACCGCUCCUAAGUUUUCUUUUAAUUCCCGCCAUUCUUAGCUUGAAACAGUUCUCACUUCUUUCUCUUUCUUCUUUUUUCUUCACUUCUUUCUUUUUUCGUGAAACGAACCGCUCUCUUGUUCUUCUUUACUUCCUGUUCUUCACUUCUUUUUCUUUUCUCGCAAUUUCAUUCGACUUGUUACCACGCGAGCCCCUGUGGAAUCUUUUAUUUUCGACCGGAUGAAGCUUCUCUGAAUAAAGGGGAGGCGGAAGCUUGGCUGAAUUCGUUGUGCCUUUCUGACUGUUGCCCGUAUAUCACAGGUAAUUUUCAUCUUUACUUUUUUAUUGUGAUGGAAAUUGUGAAGAAAUGACUGUGGAGGACUGCUUUGGAAGAGAAGUAAACACCAUCAUCUUCAAAGACAAUGCUAUGGAAAACUUCCUUCGCGUUUGGGAGGUUCCCAUCUCUCUAUUUUUAGGGUUUCCUUUUUUUUUUCUUCUUCUUUCUCCACAGUCACAUAUCUCUUCUCUUCUUCUAAAUUAUAUUUCAAGAAUUAGGUGGGAAGAAGAUGCAAAGGCGGCGGUGAAUUGAAGAAGUAUGAAGAAGGAGAGAGGGAAAUAAGCUGUGAUCAUCCCUGACCGAGCCAUAGAGGUUAGAUUACACGAUGCAUAUUAAUCAUACUCUGUUGAGUUUUCUUUUCUUGCUAGGUGCUAAUUCUUUUCUUGAUAGGGAUGGUAAUUCUUUCCAUUCAAAUAAUUGGACUUUAACCUUAUUUUUUUGUCAAUAUAUGCUUUUGUGGUGUAAUCCAUCUCUGCUAAGGCUUGGGAUGCAAAUCCAACACCACACAGAAAUACUUGGCCGGAUCUUCUUAUACUUGGUACACCGUUCAAGUCCCUUCAUUCUGCUAUUGCUGCCUUUUCCAUACGUUCAAGAACCGUUCUCUCUUACUAAAUUUUGCACUGCUUGAUCUAUGCCCUGUCACAUAGUGGGGGUAUUAUAUGUAUAUAUAUGAAUUAGGUCUUUCUUUUGUUUAAAAUAGAACUAGUGCAGGCUGUGUCACUGGUUUCAACAGUGAAAUGUUACCAAAUAAAGAUCACUGCACUUCAAUCUGUUAUUUUCCUUGCUUGCUCGGUGAAAAUGCAACCCUUGCCUUUGUUAUAAUUGUUUUACCUAGUUUUUUUUAGAGUUACCUGUAUCUCAAGAAGGGGAAAUAUAUCUUUAAACUUGUUCCCAUCACUGGAUGUAUAUUUUCUGCAUUAGUAUAAGAAAGCAGAUUAGGUCUUAAACAUGUGUACAUAUGUUGUUAAAUCUGCUAGUUUUAGGCAUUCUUGCAUGCAUUUGCAUAGUUUCUUUUUAUAUUUUUUCCUUUUUCUCCCAUUGCAUUAUCUUAGCAAGGUUAAGUAUAUAAUCUAGGCCGAAGACGUACCAAUUCUUUGGAUUUGAUACCCAUGGUUUCCCUAUAUUGCAUUAGAGAGGUUAAUGGUUUUGGUAGUCUUAACGCGACUAAAAGGAAGGUUAUAAUAAAUCUAGAAAGUUUAUAAUUAUUUAUCAAAAUUUAAUAUUUUUGCAGAGAUGUUGUAAAUGCAGGUGCACCCUAUGUUUUUAGUGUUUUUCUUGGUACCCGAAAGUGUGGGAAAAUUUUGAAAAGUAGCUCUGAUUAAAAUUGAUGAAAGAGAGGAUCUUAAAGUGUUGGCAACUAGUGUUGCAUCAGCUUUGGCUGCUAGCAAGUUGGAGAUUGGAGAGAGAGAAGAGUUCAAACAAAAAAAUGGGAGGUGGAAUUUCAAGAAUAAGGAAAACAUGCAUUACAGGGUGUGCCACUGUACCCAGUAAAGGAGGAUGCACACAACGCUGCUGAGCACGAUAAAGAAUAAUAAGAGUUUUGCGAAGUCUCGAAAGUAAGGUGGGAAGAAAAUACCAAAUCGUUUCCGAUCAAGUACUUGGAGAGCAACUCGCGAAUGGAAUAGAGUUCCCUCUUGCUGAGAUCCUUCACGAAUUUGUUCUCAACUCCGAGCUCGCACACGAUGUG